GACGAACGCUGGCGGCGUGCUUAACACAUGCAAGUCGAACGGAAAGGCCCUGCUUUUGUGGGGUUCUCGAGUGGCGAACGGGUGAGUAACACGUGAGUAACCUGCCCUUGACUUUGGGAUAACUUCAGGAAACUGGGGCUAAUACCGGAUAGGAGCUCCUGCUGCAUGGUGGGGGUUGGAAAGUUUCGGCGGUUGGGGAUGUACUCGCUGCUUAUCAGCUUGUUGGUGGGGUAGUGGCUUACCAAGGCUUUGACGGGUAGCCGGCCUGAGAGGGUGACCGGCCACAUUGGGACUGAGAUACGGCCCAGACUCCUACGGGAGGCAGCAGUGGGGAAUAUUGCACAAUGGGCGGAAGCCUGAUGCAGCAACGCCGCGUGCGGGAUGACGGCCUUCGGGUUGUAAACCGCUUUCGCCUGUGACGAAGCGUGAGUGACGGUAAUGGGUAAAGAAGCACCGGCUAACUACGUG
rnacentral:rRNA from 1 species